rnacentral:rRNA from 1 species
GUCUAUGGCCAAGCCAGCCUGAACAAGCCUGAUCCUGUCUGAUCUUGGAAGCUAAGCAGGGUCAGGCCUGGUUAGUACUUGGAUGGGAGACCACCUAGGAAGACCAGGUGCUAUAGGUG